UUACUUCAAGUGGUAAAUACAUUAAAACUGGGAUACUCCAGAGAAGACCAGAAUGGCUUCUGUGCAAGAUGAAAUGAAAAUUUAUAAAGCAUCUUCAUUUUCCU